GCAGUUUUUAAAAGAGUUUGUAAGGUUUGUCCAUCUAUUCAAAAUACCUUCGCCUGGGUGAAGUGCAAAGAUCGUAUAGAAUAUCUGAAACGACGUUACAGCGAAUGUGUGAAGCAUAACAAGAAGAUGGGGUCGGAUCCACAACGCUGCCCAUUCUUUGAGGAACUGGACUCUGUUCUUGGUUAGUUGCUACUUUUAAGAGUAUUCAUUUUCUAUUGAAAAAUAAUGAACAGUGUACAAAGUACCCCAGGGUUGGACAUACGGAUGUGUCAAGUUCAGAGGAAGGUGAAAAUUCUGGUAAGUUAGUUAUUUUUUCCCUUUACAAUAUGUCAAUGUUGCCAUUUAAUUAAUAUCUUGCAGCUCUGAAAUGUUCUAAAUGAUAUGCUUUGUUACAGGUACCAGUUCACACUCAUCUAGUAUAGCAGAGCCAUCAGGAGACCAAGCAGCUACGAUGACAGCAUCUGAUAAUGACAGUGGUCCAAGGUCAGAGCUGACCUCCAAUCCCAGCCAAAAUUCCAUCAUUACAAGGCGUAAACGCAAAGGCAAAAAAACUCAAAUCAUGGAAGCCAUGGAGAGAGGGAUAAACAUGUUAAUACAACAUGACAAAGAUACAACAGCAGCAGAGGUUAAACAGCGUCAUGACAAGGAGAACACAGCCUGGGAGAGACAGUUCCAGCAGGCCAGACUGGAUCUGGAAAGAGCACGUCUUGAAUUUGAGAUGAAGCGUCAGGAAGCUGAAGACAGGCGUGCUCGAGAUACCCAGCAAUUCAUGGUUCAAAUUCUGCAAGUGCUUAGACCUGCAAUGCCACAGUAUGGACCCUCAACUUCGUUUGCACAAUAUCAACAUCCAGCUCAGCACAAUUAUCCAUCUGAUCCAUUUGCUUUUCCACCUGGUGAAGCCUCACACCAAAAUCUGUCAAUAUCAGUUUUCCAAGAUCAACGUUCACUGUCUGACCAAAGAAAUGACCACUAGAUUUUCUGGGCAUUGUUUUUUUGCAAACGUUAUUGUGCAGUUGCACUUGUUUGUACAAGUUUAAAGAACUGUUCGAGGAACAAAAAUGUUGUAAAAAUGUAGGAAGUUUUUUUUUUGGCACUAUAUUACGUUUACAUUUUUGCACUUUAAUGCCU
ensembl:lncRNA